GAUGAACGCUGGCGGCGUGCCUAAUACAUGCAAGUCGAGCGAACGGACGAGAAGCUCGCUUCCCUGAUGUUAGCGGCGGACGGGUGAGUAACACGUGGAUAACCUACCUAUAAGACUGGGAUAACUUCGGGAAACCGGAGCUAAUACCGGAUCAUAUUUUGAACCGCAUGGUUCAAAAGUGAAAGACGGUCUUGCUGUCACUUAUAGAUGGAUCCGCGCUGCAUUAGCUAGUUGGUAAGGUAACGGCUUACCAAGGCAACGAUGCAUAGCCGACCUGAGAGGGUGAUCAGCCACACUGGAACUGAGACACGGUCCAGACUCCUACGGGAGGCAGCAGUAGGGAAUCUUCCGCAAUGGGCGAAAGCCUGACGGAGCAACGCCGCGUGAGUGAUGAAGGUCUUCGGAUCGUAAAACUCUGUUAUUAGGGAAGAACAUAUGUGUAAGUAACUGUGCACGUCUUGACGGUACCUAAUCAGAAAGCCACGGCUAACUACGUG
rnacentral:rRNA from 1 species